rnacentral:lncRNA from 1 species
UUUCUCUGUUUCAGCUGCCUUCUGAAUCCUCUCCUCUGCAAUAGGAAGAGAUGUUCCCAAACUGGACUGGAGCCCCCCCUCCUACCUGCGUGAGAUCUACCAGCACAAUCCUGAAUCUCAUUUAUACCUGGAAGGUCAGCCUCAUUGCACCCAAUGUUUCAUCUUUCACACAUCUGAGGCCCAUUGUCAACUGAUCUUUUCGUCCACUUAUAGCUUCAAAGAGCAACAGAUGAAAACACCUCCAGGUGUUCUUCAGCACCAGUAUGUG